AUGGCGCGGCAGAGGCCGACGCGUAUCCCCACGCCGAAUGUUUGACCUAGGUGUGCCCCAGGGUUGGUAAUGGGGCCAUGCAUAGCUGAGAUUGACCGUAUUGUCAUAAGAGAAGUUCAUCAUCAAUUAGAAGUGAAUUGGUGUAGAAAUGAAGAAGUUAUAGUAAAAGGCAAUUUUGGGUGGAUCUGACAUAUGUGGGCAGGGCGCCCCAGGGUUGGUAAUUGUGCCAUGCAUAGUUGAGAUUGACCGUAUUGUCAUAAGAGAAGUUCAGUAUCAAUUUGAAGUGAAUCGGUGUAGAAAUGAAGAAAUUAUAGUAAAAGGCAAUUUUGGGUGGGUGUGGUCUAUGUGGGCGGGGCGCCCCAGGGUUGGUAUUGGGGCCAUGCAUAGUUGAGAUUGACUGUAUUGUCAUAAGAGAAGUUCAAUAUCAAUUUGAAGUGAAUCGGUGUAGAAAUGAAGAAAUUAUAGUAAAGGCAAUUUUGGGUGGGUGUGGUCUAUGUGGGCGGGGCCCCAGGGUUGGUUAUGGGGCCAUGCAUAGUUGAGAUUGACCCUAAUGUCAUAAGAGAAGUUCAGUAUCAAUUUGAAGUGAAUCCGUGUAGAAAUGAAAAAAUUAUAGUAAAUGGGAAUUUUUUGGUGGGUGUGGCCUAUGUGGGCGGGCGCCCCAGGGUUGGGAUUGGGGCCAUGCAUAGUUGAGAUUAACCCUAAUGUCAUAACAAAAGUUCAGUAUCAAUUUGAAGUGAAUCCGUGUAGAAAUGAAAAAAUUAUAGUAAAUGGAAAUUUUUGGUGGGUGUGGCCUAUGUGGGCGGGGGGCCCCAGGGUUGGGAAUGGGGCCAUGCAUGGUUGAGAUUGACCGUAUUGUCAUAAGAGAGGUCCAGUAUCAAUUUGAAGUGAAUCGGUGUAGAAAUAAAGAAGUAAAUGUAAAAUAACCUAAAAAAAUGAGUGAUAAUUUCUGACGCGGCCCCACCCCAACCGCUAUAACUUUUGACCCAGGGGUCAGAUCAAAAUUCCAAAUAGUGCAGGGUCGCACAUAUGCUCAUAGCUACCAUGUGUGUAAGUUUCAAGGUUCUAGUGCUUUUAGUGUAGGAGGAGAUAGUGGCCAGGACGGACGGACGGACGGACAGACGGACGGACGGCGGAGAUAACCACAAUAUCCC